UUUCUGUGGGAAGAGCAAGGACGGUACCACAGGAAUAAGUCACGGCUAACUACGUGCCAGCAGCCGCGGUAAUACGUAGGUGACCUGCCUCGGAGUGGGGGAUAACCAUUAGAAAUGAUGGCUAGUACCGCAUGGGUUGGUAAUGUAGGGAUACAUUGUCAAUAAAGCUCAGGCGCUUGGAGAGGGGCCUACGUCCGAUUAGCUAGUUGGUGGGGUAAUGGCCUACCAAGGCGAUGAUCGGUAGCUGGUCUGAGAGGACGAUCAGCCACACGGGAACUGAGACACGGUCCCGACUCCUACGGGGGGCAGCAGUGAGGAAUAUUCGGCAAUGGGGGCAACCCUGACCGAGCAACGCCGCGUGGAGGAUGACGGUUUUUGGAUUGUAAACUCCUUUUCUGUGGGAAGAGCAAGGACGGUACCACAGGAAUAAGUCACGGCUAACUACGUGCCAGCAGCCGCGGUAAUACGUAGGUGGCAAGCGUUAUCCGGAAUUACUGGGCGUAAAGCGCACGCAGGUGGUUUGCUAAGUUUGACGUGAAAGCGCCUGGCUUAACUGGGCGAGGUCGUUGGAGACUGGCAGACUAGAGGUGAGGAGAGGGGUGUAGAAUUCCCGGUGUAGUGGUGGAAUGCGUAGAUAUCGGGAGGAAUACCAGUGGCGAAAGCGGCACCCUGGCCUUGGCCUGACGCUCAUGUGCGAAAGCGUGGGUAGCAAACGGGAUUAGAUACCCCGGUAGUCCACGCCGUAAACGAUGAAUACUUGGUGUAGGUUGUCUCAAAAUGAUCUGUACCGUAGCUAACGCGAUAAGUAUUCCGCCUGGGGAGUACGGCCGCAAGGCUAAAACUCGAAGGAAUUGACGGGGGCCCGCACAAGCAGCGGAGCGUGUGGUUUAAUUCGAUGCAACGCGAAAAACCUUACCUGGGCUUGACGUGUCUGUAGUAGUGAAGCGAAAGCGGAACGACCCUUCGGGGAGCAGAUGCAGGUGCUGCAUGGCUGUCGUCAGCUCGUGUCGUGAGAUGUUGGGUUAAGUCCCGCAACGAGCGCAACCCUCGUCGCUAGUUACACGUGUCUAGCGAGACCGCCGAUAUCAAAUCGGAGGAAGGUGGGGAUGACGUCAAGUCAGCAUGGCCUUUAUGUCCAGGGCUACACACACGCUACAAUGGCCGGUACAAUGGGCAGCCAAAGAGCGAUCUGGAGCGAAUCCAUCAAAGCCGGUCGUAGUUCAGAUUGUAGGCUGCAACCCGCCUACAUGAAGCCGGAGUUGCUAGUAAACGCAGGUCAGCAUUACUGCGUUGAAUACGUUCCCGGGCCUUGUACACACCGCCCGUCACGUCAUGGGAGUUGGUAACACCUGAAGUCGGUGACCGAACCGCAAGGGAGGAGCUGCCUAGGGUGGGGCCGAUGACUGGGACGAAGUCGUAACAAGGUA
rnacentral:rRNA from 1 species